AGGAUGAACGCUGGCGGCGUGCUUAACACAUGCAAGUCGAACGGUGAAAGGGGAGCUUGCUCCUCUCGAUCAGUGGCGAACGGGUGAGUAACACGUGAGUAACCUGCCCUUGACUCUGGGAUAAGCACUGGAAACGGUGUCUAAUACCGGAUACGACCUCCGAAGGCAUCUUCUGGAAGUGGAAAGAAUUUCGGUCAAGGAUGGACUCGCGGCCUAUCAGCUAGUUGGUGAGGUAACGGCCCACCAAGGCGACGACGGGUAGCCGGCCUGAGAGGGUGACCGGCCACACUGGGACUGAGACACGGCCCAGACUCCUACGGGAGGCAGCAGUGGGGAAUAUUGCACAAUGGGCGCAAGCCUGAUGCAGCAACGCCGCGUGAGGGACGACGGCCUUCGGGUGUAAACCUCUUUAGUAGGGAAGAAGCGAAAGUGACGGUACCUGCAGAAAAGCACCGGCUAACUACGCGCCAGCAGCCGCGGU
rnacentral:rRNA from 1 species